UGCAAGUCGAGCGGAAACGAGUUAUCUGAACCUUCGGGGAACGAUAACGGCGUCGAGCGGCGGACGGGUGAGUAAUGCCUAGGAAAUUGCCCUGAUGUGGGGGAUAACCAUUGGAAACGAUGGCUAAUACCGCAUAACACCUUCGGGUCAAAGAGGGGGACCUUCGGGCCUCUCGCGUCAGGAUAUGCCUAGGUGGGAUUAGCUAGUUGGUGAGGUAAUGGCUCACCAAGGCGACGAUCCCUAGCUGGUCUGAGAGGAUGAUCAGCCACACUGGAACUGAGACACGGUCCAGACUCCUACGGGAGGCAGCAGUGGGGAAUAUUGCACAAUGGGCGCAAGCCUGAUGCAGCCAUGCCGCGUGUGUGAAGAAGGCCUUCGGGUUGUAAAGCACUUUCAGUCGUGAGGAAGGUAGUGUAGUUAAUAGCUGCAUUAUUUGACGUUAGCGACAGAAGAAGCACCGGCUAACUCCGUGCCAGCAGCCGCGGUAAUACGGAGGGUGCGAGCGUUAAUCGGAAUUACUGGGCGUAAAGCGCAUGCAGGUGGUUUGUUAAGUCAGAUGUGAAAGCCCGGGGCUCAACCUCGGAAUAGCAUUUGAAACUGGCAGACUAGAGUACUGUAGAGGGGGGUAGAAUUUCAGGUGUAGCGGUGAAAUGCGUAGAGAUCUGAAGGAAUACCGGUGGCGAAGGCGGCCCCCUGGACAGAUACUGACACUCAGAUGCGAAAGCGUGGGGAG
rnacentral:rRNA from 1 species